UUCACAUGAACCGUAUAAUCCCGCAUAGCGCAUGUGGGGCAUGCGUCUAAACCAAAGCCCCAAAAUCACUUGUUUUGGUCUAUUUCAGUUUCACUUGUGUUUCCCCCGUCUCCCAGUCCAUAAUACAUUUACAGUUUACAAUCCCCGAUCAUGGCCCAACAAAAGGUCAUCGGUUGACUAAAGGAACACAACUGUUCAAUGGAUUUAUAGUUGAAUGCGAUCAAACUACGUCUUUUCAAUCGUGGAUUGUAAAUUUAACCCCAUGGGCCUAGGGAAGGCCCUAUAACAAUACUUUCGACACAGUUAUUAUCUCCGGUGCCUCCACCAUGUUACACACAGUGCUCACUGCUGAUUCUAAAAUGCGCCACCUAGUCAAAACAGGACAUAUGUUCUUCUAGGAAUAGAUCUCUUUCCAAUAUUUCGUCAUUCCACUAUCGUCAUCACCUCAUCAUACUUUCAUUGACAUUACAGGCACACAUCCACAGAGCACUCUUCAAAUCAUCUACACAGUGGUUAUCCAACUAGGAUUAUAAAGGCACACAUGGACAUUGACCACUGUUGCAGUCAACGACACAGUCGCUAUCCAAGUAGCAUUAUAGAGCUGUCAUGCAACGCAACAACUGUGCUAUCUGCCAUCGCACAUCAACGAAGAAGUGCAGCCGCUCACAUUCCACCUCACGUCUGUCCGACCAGCUGCAAUCCUCGAGGACGCCCCACUGUACCACGAUUUCACUACGAUGUUUGACAAGAAGGAGCAGUGCGCGAGAUAGGCUAAUGAGCAGACUUCCCUCGUUUGAGUUUCAGAAGAAUGUUCCAUAU